CUUUUAUUAAAUGAAGGCAUCCAUUGAAACCAAGCCUUUUGUGAGAGGGAUGUCUGAUGAAAUGUAAAAG
rfam:Salmo salar isolate Sally breed double haploid chromosome ssa22, whole genome shotgun sequence.